AAAAUUUUAGCCUUGGUAUGGAGAAUACUUCUACAUAAAAUGUAAAGAGUUUACCAUUUAUUGGAUGGUCAAAUUCAUGAACCAGCCUAAUCAAUCAUAGGGGUAGAUGAAAAUUAAAGGAUAUGUAACUAUUUUGCAGUAACAUAUCAAAAAAGUAAUAUUAAGUCCUUAUAUUUCAUAUAAGGCAUACAUACACCCUUUGCAAAAUAAUUUUGAAAUCAUUCAAAAGUUUCUUUUUCAAAAUUGGUGUGAAAUUAAAAGGUUCAUUUAUAAAUUUAACUUUUUCCUUCUGGUGGAUGAUUAUUUCAUAUGGAACAGGAGAAAAAAAAAAAAAGCAAACUUUUGUUUGUGCAAAAGUGGGGCAGGAGGCUGGUGUCCACAAAGGACUUCAGACAGACUGUGAAAUCCACCAUUUCUUGGGUGUUUGUUGUAUGAAUCCAUUACCACUUGGAUAGUGCGGAGUUUUCAGGACAUGGUAAGAUUAUGAAAACACCAGAAGGUACAUGAAAGAAAGGGAACUUUUAUUUCCCUGGCCAUCCCAUCAAUUUAUUUUUCUUUAAUGUAUAAAUUUAAGCCAGCUUGCAGCUUUUCAAAAGGACAGCCUUAUUUAUGUGUACUCCAUUUCCUUGCUUUUUGACGAAUGUUUCAAUUGCAUGGAAUCUGCAAUAACCCACUGCAGGACAAGUACGUGUUCCUAUAAAAGAAAAUAUUUGCUGGGAAAACUCUGCAGUGCAUGUUGCCAAUAUUAUCAACUUUGUUUUUGUUAAUUUCAGAAGUGUUAGUUUUUUGUUUUGAGCCAUGCCUGGUAUAUUAUAUAUACUAUAGUAUAUAUAGUCUUAAUGUCAUCUUUCAAGCAUUUUUGUACUGUUUGCAUUGAAUUUUAAAUGUUAUAUCCAAUAGUUUCAGUGUUACAUCUUAUUACAUAAAGACAUGAACUGGCCUAAGUAAAGCUGAAGGUUAAGAUACUCAGGUCACCUUAGUAUAAAGGUCUUUAUUACACUAGAUGCUUGGUAUAAAGGUCUUUUAUUAUAGUAAGUAUAAUAUUAUUAUACUUAGCAAAGUGAUGGCAUUGUUGAGUGAGAUACACAGAAAUAAUGCUAAGAUUGAGAUGCUGUCAAAUAUAACAGAUUUCUCUAUGAGUCAAGCUUUUCUACAUAUAUUUAUACAUAUCUGUAUAUAAACAUAUAUACUUGUGUAUAUAUAGUCAUAUAUAUUAUACAUAUUCAUAUGGGUUAAUUGAGAGAUUUUUUAAAUUAAGAACUUUAUUUUUAGGCCAGGUAAAAGUUGGUAACAAAAUUGAGCCGAGAACACAGCCUCCCCCAUUAUCAAUAUCCCCACCAGAUGGUACAUUGUUACACCUGAUGAACCUACACUGGUGCAUCAUUAUCACCUGAAGUCCAUGGUUUAUGUUAAGUUCACUCUGGCACAUUGUAUGGGUUUGGACACAAGUUUGAUAACAUGUAUGCACCAUCACAGUAUCACACUGUCAUUUCUCUACCCUAAACCUUCUGUACUAUCCCUCUUAACCCCUCCCUCCCUCACCCCAACUCCUGGAAACCAGCGAUCCUGUCACUGUUCCCGUAGUUGUGGCCUUUCCAGAAUGUCAUCAAGCUGUAGCUAUUCCCUCUACAGCCUUUUCAGAUUACCUUCUUUCACUUCACCACAUGCAUUUCAGAUUCCUCCCAAUCUUUUCACAGCUUGAUAGCCCAUUUCUUUGAGUGCUGAGGCAAGGAGGGGUGAGUGGUCUACUUCCUUUAGGUUCAGAGGCACCAAGGAGGGAGAACUGCCCCCACAGGACAGGUCCACUCACCAGCAACUGGGUCUGCAGUAAAAGCAGGCACUGGAUCUGUGGACAUGGAAGGCCAGGUGCUGGGAAGUGACCCUGACCUCAGCUUCCUCCCACACCAGACUCAGUCUGGCAACCAGAGAGCAAGGGUGCUCCUUGAGCCCAGCCAGCAAGGAUGUUCCCAGGGCUUAGAAGGAUGCAGUGGGGGAGAGAUUAAGUUUGAAGCACCCAGUAAAAACCAGAUGGCUCAAGGCCCAACACAGGUGAAGCACCUCAUGUAGAAAUCCCUAAUUUCUCAUUAAUAACUCAAAUCAAAAGAUAUUCAGCCACUAAACUCCUACAUUAUUUACCAAAGCCAGGGCCAAACAGUGUUUAAAAUAAUUGUACAAAUUGGUAGAAAUUAUUAUUGAGAUGACUCAGUAUUUUUUGACUUUAAUUUAAAAUAACAUGAACCAUAAAUGAUUGGUUACCCUUUGCCAUAUCUUCAAUCAAGUGGUUGCUAAGAACUAAGUAAAGGUGCAACACUGUAUUUUGAUAAGACACAUUUCUAGAGAUCACCAAUACAUAAAUUAUAGCAAAAUCUUUUAUUAAGCAUAAUUUAGUUAUACACUUUAGAGAGGACUUUUAUAUAUAUUUAGAUAUAGAUUUGUAUUAUAUAUCAGUUUUGUGUAUAUAAAAUAUAGAAAAAAACAUAAGAAAAAUAAACAUGUAUUCCAAAGCCAUCUUCAUCCACUAUCCUAAGCUUUCUUUUUUUAACUACUUUUUGACUCAGUAUUAUUCUUGGUGAUAAGAGAAGUGUUGGAUAUUUAAUAUUUGAUAAAGGAAUGUUCUGUUAGCGUAUCCUGGUGCUUUUCCACCCCCACUGCCCUCUUUCUGCCAGUCUGGACACCAGUACCUUUUUGUCUCUCCCUCUCUCUCUUUUUUUUUUUUUAAGGGCCGCACCUGUGGCAUAUGGAGGCUGCCAAACUAGGGGUCUAAUGGGAGCUGUUGCUGCCGGCCUACACCACAGCCACAGCAACGCGAAAUCCGAGCCGCAUCUGCGACCUAUGCCACAGCUCAUGGCAAUGCCGGAUCCUUAACCCACUGGAGCAAGGCCAGGGAUCGAACCCACAACCUCACGGUUUCUAGUCGGAUUCGUUUCCACUGAUCCACAACAGGGACUCCAACCAGUGCCUUUCUGAACUCAGCAGACAGUGUGGACAGAAAGUUCUGGGGUAACAACUGGGGCUCCUGUUCUUCAUCCAAUUAUUGUAACCAUUUUACCCACUGUACCACAGACAAGCCACUUUCGUGUGGUUCUGCUACUGGGAAUGACUGGGCAGUGACAUCUAACUUCUGACCACCACCUGGCUGCCUGCAAUGGCAAGAGGCCAGGAACAGUCAGCACUUCAAUUCCAAAGAUGUUAAAACUGGAGCGAAACCAGACAUCGUAGAGCUGAUGGAA
rnacentral:lncRNA from 1 species